rnacentral:rRNA from 1 species
ACAAAAUAAGUGAUAUAGAGCAAAACCCUAAAAACGGUACUCAGUUCGGAUUGAAGGCUGAAAUUCGCCUUCAUGAAGCUGGAAUUGCUAGUAAUGGCAGGUCAGCAUACUGCCGUGAAUACGUUCCCGGGCCUUGUACACACCGCCCGUCACACCAUGAGAGUUGGGAAUACCCGAAGCCUGUGAGCUAACAUAUGAGGCAGCAGUCGAAGGUAGAAUCAAUGAUUGGGGUGAAGUCGUAACAAGGUAAC